rnacentral:rRNA from 1 species
CUGCGGCAGGAUCAUUG